rnacentral:pre_miRNA from 1 species
AAGUACUCCCUCUGUAAACAAAUGUAGGACGUUUUUGCAGUUUAAAUUAAACUGCUAAAACAUCUUACAUUUGUGUACAGAGGGAAUAUAU